AUUGAACGCUGGCGGCAGGCCUAACACAUGCAAGUCGAACGGUAACAGGAAACAGCUUGCUGUUUCGCUGACGAGUGGCGGACGGGUGAGUAAUGUCUGGGAAACUGCCUGAUGGAGGGGGAUAACUACUGGAAACGGUAGCUAAUACCGCAUAACGUCGCAAGACCAAAGAGGGGGACCUUCGGGCCUCUUGCCAUCGGAUGUGCCCAGAUGGGAUUAGCUAGUAGGUGGGGUAACGGCUCACCUAGGCGACGAUCCCUAGCUAGUCUGAGAGGAUGACCAGCCACACUGGAACUGAGACACGGUCCAGACUCCUACGGGAGGCAGCAGUGGGGAAUAUUGCACAAUGGGCGCAAGCCUGAUGCAGCCAUGCCGCGUGUAUGAAGAAGGCCUUCGGGUUGUAAAGUACUUUCAGCGGGGAGGAAGGGAGUAAAGUUAAUACCUUUGCUCAUUGACGUUACCCGCAGAAGAAGCACCGGCUAACUCCGUGCCAGCAGCCGCGGUAAUACGGAGGGUGCAAGCGUUAAUCGGAAUUACUGGGCGUAAAGCGCACGCAGGCGGUUUGUUAAGUCAGAUGUGAAAUCCCCGGGCUCAACCUGGGAACUGCAUCUGAUACUGGCAAGCUUGAGUCUCGUAGAGGGGGGUAGAAUUCACGGGGAACGGCUGAAAGGGGAGAGGUCUGGCGGAUUACCAGUGGGCAAGGGGGCCCCCUGAUCGAUGACUACGCUCCCGGUGUGAAAGCGGGGGACGCAAACAGGAUUAGAUUCCCCGGUAGUCCACGCCGUAAACGAUGUCGACUCGGAGGUUGUGCCCUUGGGAAGUGGCUUCCGGAGCUAACGCGUUAAGUCGGCCGCCUGGGGAGUACGGCCGCACGGUUAAAACUCAAAUGAAUUGACGGGGGCCCGCACAAGCGGUGGAGCAUGUGGUUUAAUUCGAUGCAACGCGAAGAACCUUACCUGGUCUUGACAUCCACAGAACUUUCCAGAGAUGGAUUGGUGCCUUCGGGAACUGUGAGACAGGUGCUGCAUGGCUGUCGUCAGCUCGUGUUGUGAAAUGUUGGGUUAAGUCCCGCAACGAGCGCAACUCUUAUCCUUUGUUGCCAGCGGUCCGGCCGGGAACUCAAAGGAGACUGCCAGUGAUAAACUGGAGGAAGGUGGGGAUGACGUCAAGUCAUCAUGGCCCUUACGACCAGGGCUACACACGUGCCACAAUGGCGCAUACAAAGAGAAGCGACCUCGCGAGAGCAAGCGGACCUCAUAAAGUGCGUCGUAGUCCGGAUUGGAGUCUGCAACUCGACUCCAUGAAGUCGGAAUCGCUAGUAAUCGUGGAUCAGAAUGCCACGGUGAAAGGGUUCCCGGGCCU
rnacentral:rRNA from 1 species